AACGAACGCUGGCGGCAUGCCUAACACAUGCAAGUCGAACGAGACCUUCGGGUCUAGUGGCGCACGGGUGCGUAACGCGUGGGAACCUGCCCGUAGGUUCGGAAUAACUCACCGAAAGGGGUGCUAAUACCGGAUAAUGUCUUCGGACCAAAGAUUUAUCGCCUUUGGAUGGGCCCGCGUUGGAUUAGCUAGUUGGUAGGGUAAAAGCCUACCAAGGCGACGAUCCAUAGCUGGUCUGAGAGGAUGAUCAGCCACACUGGGACUGAGACACGGCCCAGACUCCUACGGGAGGCAGCAGUGGGGAAUAUUGGACAAUGGGCGAAAGCCUGAUCCAGCAAUGCCGCGUGAGUGAUGAAGGCCUUAGGGUUGUAAAGCUCUUUUACCCGGGAUGAUAAUGACAGUACCGGGAGAAUAAGCUCCGGCUAACUCCGUG
rnacentral:rRNA from 1 species